rnacentral:rRNA from 1 species
GAUGAACGCUGGCGGCGUGCCUAAUACAUGCAAGUCGAGCGAACAGAUGAGGAGCUUGCUCCUCUGACGUUAGCGGCGGACGGGUGAGUAACACGUGGAUAACCUACCUAUAAGACUGGGAUAACUUCGGGAAACCGGAGCUAAUACCGGAUAAUAUAUUGAACCGCAUGGUUCAAUAGUGAAAGACGGUUUUGCUGUCACUUAUAGAUGGAUCCGCGCCGCAUUAGCUAGUUGGUAAGGUAACGGCUUACCAAGGCAACGAUGCGUAGCCGACCUGAGAGGGUGAUCGGCCACACUGGAACUGAGACACGGUCCAGACUCCUACGGGAGGCAGCAGUAGGGAAUCUUCCGCAAUGGGCGAAAGCCUGACGGAGCAACGCCGCGUGAGUGAUGAAGGUCUUCGGAUCGUAAAACUCUGUUAUUAGGGAAGAACAAAUGCGUAAGUAACUAUGCACGUCUUGACGGUACCUAAACAGAAAGCCACGGCUAACUACGUG